rnacentral:rRNA from 1 species
GACGAACGCUGGCGGCGCGCUUAACACAUGCAAGUCGAGCGGGAACCAGGACUUCGGUCCUGGGGAGAGCGGCGAACGGGUGCGUAACACGUGAGCAACCUGCCCCGAAGACCGGGACAACCCGAGGAAACUCGGGCUAAUACCGGAUGCCUUCACCGGAUCGCAUGAUCUGGUGAAGAAAUGGAUUCCGCUUCGGGAUGGGCUCGCGGUCUAUCAGCUUGUUGGUGGGGUAACGGCCUACCAAGGCGACGACGGAUAGCUGGUCUGAGAGGACGAUCAGCCACACUGGGACUGAGACACGGCCCAGACUCCUACGGGAGGCAGCAGUGGGGAAUUUUGGACAAUGGGGGCAACCCUGAUCCAGCAAUGCCGCGUGAGUGAAGAAGGCCUUCGGGUUGUAAAGCUCUUUUGUCAGGGAAGAAACACCGGCUCUAACACAGUCCGGGAAUGACGGUACCUGAAGAAUAAGCACCGGCUAACUACGUGCCAGCCGCCGCCGUAA